AUGACGAAACGCAGAGCUUAUGCCCAGCCCUUGGGAAGGCUUUUCCCUCUGUUCACGUCCAGUGACCGCACGAACACCUCAAGCCGACUGACGUGCCUGUCCUCAGCCGGGGACGGGCCUAGAACAGUGCCAGCGCGCAGGGACCGGGCACGGCAGGGGCAAGGAAGAAGGCUGGGGCUCAGUCCCGGCAGCCAGCGCGAGCAGAGCGGUACAGAGCAGGCCGGCCCGCACCUUCGCUCCGCAGAACGCACGGAGCGCAGCGCCGCGCGGCCGUCCCACCCCGCGCCAGGGGUAACGCGAGGCCCACGCUCUGCGGGACGCACCCGGGCCGGGAGCGCCGCGACGGAAGGGUGGCACCCGGGGAACGAGCCGGGCCCGGCGGCACAGGUACCGCCGGAAAGCGGCCGCGGGGAGCGGCCCAGAGGCCAGAGGGUGGGCCGGGAGGGCGCCCAGCUGGGCCGGGCCGGGGGGAGGCAGCAGAGGAGGGGGAGGGCGGCGCCGGCGCCGCUCACAUACUCACUGCUGGCCGCACCGGGACGCGCCGAGCCGGAAGUGACAGCCUUCGCCCCGCCCCCUCGGGGCGCGUGUUUCCGGGCCCGCCCCCCGUUCCCCCGCGCCGGCCCUGUGCGGGUUGGGCGCUCGGGGUGGGAUGGAGCCUGCUGUGACCUUGCUGCUUCCUCCCAGCACCCGAGGGAAUGGCACGGGGCUGCGUCAGGGGAGGGUCGGGGAGGGGGAGUGAGAGAAGGGCUGUGCCCUGACGGUACAGCUCCCCGGGGCAGUGGGCACGGCCCCGAGCUGCUGGAGUUCAGGGAGCGCUGGAGACGCCGCUCGGACAUGGGUGUGCGCUUGGGUGCUGCUGCGCGGAGCCGGGGCUUGGACUCGGUGGUCCUUCCGUCUGGGAUGUCCUGUGGUUCUGAGGAGAGAAGUCACCUGGGUGAGACAGGAGCCCAGGGAGCGUCGAGGCCGGCUGCUGUCAGAGGGAUGGAUUGGGCAUCGCAGGGAGCUGCCCGUGGACCUGCUGAGAAUCGCCGAGGACACGACCUCGAAUGGCCCUGGCAAAGGCGAUUCCAGGCGCAGUGGGGAGCAGGAGCCUCCUGUCCGAGCUGCGUGCCAAACCCUGCAGUCAAGGCACGGCCAGAUAUGUCAGUCCUGAACAGUGGCAGGUUUGGAGGACGCGGAGGAUUUGGCCUCUCUUGUGCAGGGCGUUUGGGAGGAGAAGAGAGCUCUUGCAGCUCAAAUGAUGAAAACAGACAACCCUUUCCAUGCACGGGGCUUGCUGGGUGGCUGUGCGCUGGGUGGAAGCUGCUUGAUGGCGCACAGCUUGCAGAUGCUAGCAUCCAAAGGGUAUUAAAACCAUCUAUGCCAUCUUCUGUCUACAGGUCCAGCUCCAGUCAUUAG
rnacentral:lncRNA from 1 species